AGGGAAUGUCACUAGUGCAUCUGGGUC
rnacentral:piRNA from 1 species